UGGGGAAUAUUCCGCAAUGGACGAAAGUCUGACGGAGCAACGCCGCGUGAGUGAUGAAGGUUUUCGGACUGUAAAGCUCUGUUGUUUAGGACGAAAGUGCCUGUUGCGAACAGUUACAGGUAUUGACGGUACUAAACGAGGAAGCCACGGCUAACUACGUGCCAGCAGCCGCGGUAAUACGUAGGUGGCAAGCGUUGUCCGGAAUUAUUGGGCGUAAAGAGCAUGUAGGCGGAGAUUUAAGUCUGUUGUGAAAAUGCGGGGCUCAACCCCGUAUUGCGAUGGAAACUGAAUUUCUUGAGUGCAGGAGAGGAAAGGGGAAUUCCCAGUGUUGCGGUGAAAUGCGUAGAUAUUGGGAGGAACACCAGUGGCGAAGGCGCCUUUCUGGACUGUGUCUGACGCUGAGAUGCGAAAGCCAGGGUAGCGAACG
rnacentral:rRNA from 1 species